CCAUUUAGGUCUGAGUUGGAUGUAAUUUCAAAACUGCGCUGCCAAGAAUGUUUUAACAAAAUAUUUUACAAAAUCGCGCGAUAGGAUAGAUUUUCUCGCGAGAUAGUUGUCACGUCACACGUUCUCCCGGAAGUACGUCGUGUGCAGCCAGCAAGCCACGAGGAGAGGGUGAAUUUAUGAAGGAGUUGUUUUUAUAUAUUAUAUAAAACCUACUAUUGGUUGAAGAUCAACACAAACCAAAUGAAGAUGUUGUAGAUUCUACAAACAAUAAAAAAGAAGGUGAUGGCACACAUCAUGACAGUAAACAUCGGUAUCAAGAUGGUGUGAUUGAUCUAUACCCUAGAAUAAGCUGUGACACUGAUGCUGUGGUCACAUAAUGAACAGCCAUCUUACAGACAACCGAAAGAGUAUUGUCUACAAUCCCAAAUUCUGGAUUGACGAUCCAGUACCAGUGGGCACCCCAAUCCCAGAGAGCAUCCAUCUGAAACCAGGUGAGGUAACACAACGAAAAAAUUACCGGAUGGAGACUACCUGAUUCUUCACCUAUGGCCUCAGCUUCAAAUGCAAGAAGUCCAGCAACUGUCUGAGUUGGUGGAUAUUCUGUCAGAGACUCCGUGGACAACGUUAUGAAUAGGUUAUUUGUCUAAGGUGAAGUAAUCUUACAGUUCUUUCACAGAAUGUUGUGAAAUUGUCUUAUGGCAAAGUUCAAUAUGAAGGGUGGUGGACAUCUGGAAAAGAAGUCUUUUAAAGGCACACCUUUGUAUUAUGUUAUUCAAGAUGCUGUGAAGAGGUGGAGCCCAAAUGCCACCGAAUCGGAAAUAGAUGCAGCUAUGGCAGACCACCUCAAGCACGCUCCAGGAAGAGCUGGGGGUGGUGGAUACAAAAAAGCCUAACAGCUGUGAUGUGUUAAAGAGAGAGUUCACCAAAAAAGGAAAAUUGUUAUAAUUUUCUUAUCCACAUGUUUCAAACCUGUAUACCUUUCUAUUUUCUGCUGAACACAAAGAUUGAAGAAUGUUUGUAACUUCACAACCCAUUAACUGUCAAUAUUUUUUUUUUUACAAUUGUAGUAAUGGGUUGUGAGAUCUGCUUUGUUAAAAACAUUCUUUCAAAUAUCUUUGUGUUCAGCAGAACAUAGAAAGGUAUACAGGUUUGAAACAUGAGAGGGAAUAAAUGACUAAAUAUAAAUUUUUAAGGUGAACUAUCCCUUUAUAGAAAGUGUUUUGAAAUUGUUAUUAUAGUUAAAUGGUUAAAAAAUAAAAAGUGCUAAAUCAGAA